AACGAACGCUGGCGGCAUGCCUAACACAUGCAAGUCGAACGAGACCUUCGGGUCUAGUGGCGCACGGGUGCGUAACGCGUGGGAACCUGCCCUUAGGUUCGGAAUAACUCCCCGAAAGGGGUGCUAAUACCGGAUAAUGUCUUCGGACCAAAGAUUUAUCGCCUUUGGAUGGGCCCGCGUUGGAUUAGCUAGUUGGUAGGGUAAAAGCCUACCAAGGCGACGAUCCAUAGCUGGUCUGAGAGGAUGAUCAGCCACACUGGGACUGAGACACGGCCCAGACCCCUCGGGGAGGAGGGAGGGGGGAAAAUGGGGAAGGGGGGGAAAGCCUGAUCCAGAAAGGCCGGGGGGGUGAGAAAGGCCUUGGGGUUGAAAAGCUUUUUUACCCGGGAUGAAAAUAACAGGACCGGGAAAAAAAGCCCCGGCUAACCCCGU
rnacentral:rRNA from 1 species